rnacentral:rRNA from 1 species
AUUGAACGCUGGCGGCAUGCUUAACACAUGCCAGUCGAACGGUAACAGGCCACGAGCUGCUGCCGAGUGGCGGCCGGGUGCGGACUGGAUCGGAACGUGCCCGGACGUGCUGUUUCGCGACGCGUAAGGGUAGCUAAUACCGCAUACGACCUCUGGCUGACAGCGGGGGAACGCAGGGGAUCUUCCGAUCUGACGCGCCUGUGUGAGCUGAUGUCGGAUUAGCUAGUUGGUGGGGUAAAGGCCCACCAAGGCGACGAUCCGUAGCUGGUCUGAGAGGACGAUCAGCCACACUGGAACUGAGACACGGUCCAGACUCCUACGGGAGGCAGCAGUGGGGAAUAUUGGACAAUGGGCGCAAGCCUGAUCCAGCCAUGCCGCGUGGGUGAAGAAGGCCUUCGGGUUGUAAACUGCUUUUGUAGGGAAAGAAACGCCGCUGGUUAAUACCCGGCGCUACUGACGGUACCGUAAGAAUAAGCACCGGCUAACUACGUG